rnacentral:rRNA from 1 species
GACGAACGCUGGCGGCGUGCCUAAUACAUGCAAGUAGGACGCAGUUGCGAACGGGUGAGUAACGCGUAGGUAACUACCUAUUAGAGGGGGAUAACUAUUGGAAACGAUAGCUAAUACCGCAUACUAGUAGAUGGCCCUUAGUUGUAUUAGCUAGUAUGUAGGGUAAUGGCCUACCUAGGCAACGAUACAUAGCCGAGCUUGGAGGGUGAUCGGCCACACUGGGAAUGAGACACGGCCCAGACUCCUACGGGAGGCAGCAGUAGGGAAUCUUCGGCAAUGGGGGGAACCCGGAACGAGCAACGCCGCGGGAGUGAAGAAGGGUUUCGGAGCGGAAAGCUCUGUUGUUAAGGAAGCGGUACUUAACCAGAAAGGGACGGCUAACUUCGUGCCAGCAGCCGCGGUAAUAC